AUCGCGUUAAAAAUUCAAUAGAAGAUCGAAUCAAAACAAAACUGGCUGUGGCACUUGCGGCGCAUGCAACUGCCACAACCACUUGCUGACUGCCAGAGAGUCGAUUACUUAUGUAUGAGUAUAUACAUGAACGCUUGUAACUUGUAAAUGUAACUGUGUGUGCACCGCAAUGCACGGCUCUGUCGGUGUGUGUAACCGCGCGCAUUGCACUUGCCAGUGUAUGCGUGCGUUGGCUAGUGAACGGUUGUGUGAAUUAUGAAGUGUGUGUGUGUAUAUGUAUACACCAAAUGUUUGUUAGCCAGCGCAUGUGCAUGUGUGUGUGUGCGUGCGAGAAUGUAAGUAAGCGUGUUUAAAUUUUAUCUGACGGAUUGAAUUAUUCGUGAGUAGUGAGUAUGGUUGGCAGCGAGUUUUGACUAGCGCUUGCCAAGCAACUGAAAACAAGUUUUUAAAGUAGUUUUCUUUGGGACGGCGUCGUUGCUGGAUGUGUUUUUGAACGUAUAGCGGUCGACUAGCGCAGUGUACAUAGUACGUUAGUGUAGUGUAGCAAAGCAAAGUAAAUGGUGAAUAGUGUAGCAAACACACAAAUGUUUUAUAUUUUUUCGUGCAGUGAAUGUGAAAUAAUAAUAAUAAUAGAAGCAGUGAGCAAUACUAUUGAUAAGCUAAUGUUUAAAACCAACUGAAAGGAGAAGUGCGGUUAAAUUUCGUGUAAAGUGUUAUUAAAGAAAAAUAUACUAACAACUCAUAAAGGCAGUGAUCUUAAUUUAAUUAAUGAAAUUUUAAUAUUUUUUUUCAAAUAAAACAACAAGAACAAGGCAGUCAACCAAACUGGAUACUAUAGCUAUAAAAAUCCAAUCGCCACGCAGCUUACCCCCAAAGUGUUGCCAGUCUCUCUGAGCCAAGUUUGAUUAUAGAAAAGUCAGUAUUCGAAUCUGCAUCUGUGCGCUUAUCGUGUUUGUGUGUGUAUAUUUGGGUACUAGAGCAACGUCUUAGCGCUCUUUUAUGUUUGUAAAGUGUUGUCUUGGUAUGUGUGUCGUUGUAACAAAGUUUGAAUUUUAUUCUUACAAGCCACACGACCAAGUCUCAAAACGUGUCGAGUGCCAGCAGUGAGUGUUUGCAUUGCCAUAGCAUUGGAAAAAAUCGAAUUGUGGAAAAUAAUAGCUGCAUAACUACUGAUGUGCAAUAAAAAAAUCGUGAAAUAAAAUAAAAAAAUAUUAAAAUAAAAAAUUUUAAAUAAUAUUAAAAAAUACAAUAAGUGAAAAAUUAAAAAAAAAAACAAUAUACAUAUUUGUAGAAUAUAGCAAAAAAAAAUAUUUUAUCUGCAUUGUAGUGAAAGAAAAGUGUAUGCAAAAAUUCAAGCAAUAAAUGCAUUAAAAGUGUUUGAAAAUCCAACUUGAAACCAAAAAUAAAUUGAAUUAAAAAAGUGAAUAAUAUUAAUUGAAUGUUAUAUGCAACAAAAAAGAAGCUCUUCAUUGUGUUUUUGAAAACGAAAAUACUGGAUAUAGCAAAAAACAAGCGGUGUGUGCACUGCCAGCAGCAUUACUCACCGCGCGAUUCAAACGAAACAACGCCAGUUGAAUGUGUAUUAAAAAACCCAGACGCUACACGUUCAAAGCCUGAUUUUUUUCUACGCAACAGGAUUAAAAAAUCAAAAACAAAAAAAAAAAUAAUUAAAAAAAAACCACGAAAAAAUCACCAUCUAACAAAAUUAAUUCAAUAAAAGUGCAAGUCACAACGGAAAUCAGCGUUUCCAUAUCAAAUAUUUUUUUCAAUUUCAAAUCACAAUUAACGCAAUUGGAUGAAAAAACGAAAUUUUUACUCAAAUUUUUUGAGUAAAAAUACACAUUUUGAUAUCCAACCAGCUUGCCGCGUCGUCGUGAAUGCUGAAUAUCAAUCAUCCAUAACAUUUGCGUCUCCAUCAGCCAGCGAAACAGAUUGCUGCAGAACGAGUUUUUCGGUUGUAAGAGCUUCUUUUGGACACAUUUGGUUCUUCUUCCGUACUCCAUGAGACAGUGAUUCAUCACACUUGAAAGCUUAUUUUACAAAAUUUUCGAACGACAAACUUCGCCUCUACAUCAACGACUUAAAUUGUAACUGAUUUGACAGCACGUAUAAGGAAAAGGCCGCAAUGUGCAUUUGAUACUCAAUUGUGUGCUGUUUCCCAACUGAUUAGUGGUUGGACGCCCCGCCGCUCUUCAACGGGACCACCAUGGACGCGAAAAAGCUGCAACAGUUGCAGCAAGCAAACGCGCAGAAGAAAUUGCCGCUCGCCUAUCAAACGAACCUCGUCGACUAUCGUGCCGCCACACAUUCGCCCGUCUUUCAGCAACAACAACAACAGGCCGCAAUGAACGCUUAUCAUGGCGUUGGCGGCAGCGGUUAUCAGCAAAGCCCCACCGCCACCUCCUCGAGUGGUGGGCCGCUUACACCCAUCGACAUGCAACCGCAACCAAAUAAAAUGCUACUGAAGCAUAUGGCCGGUGGCGGUGGCAACACCUCGAGCAGCUCACACAGUUCGCCGUAUCAUCAGUCGUCCUACAACAGUGGCGGCGAGCAGCUCUACCAGUCACCGACGGAACGUACCUAUUUGACAGCGGCUGGACGUCUGCAGGCCACGUCGGCGCAUAAUCCUGCCUCAACGCUGCAACAGCAAUACCAACAGCUGCAACAAGCCAAGAUGCAGGCGCAAAUGCAGACGCAGAGUGAGGCGGUGGUGCAGCAGCAGCGUACGUUCGCCAUGCGACAGGCAAUGAAUCCGCCCGUGCCGCAGGGACACUUCCAUAUGAGUCAGUCGUCCAGCAUCAUGUCGACGAUGACCUUGCAACAACAGCAGCAACAACAACAGCAGCAGCAACAGAAUGCCGCAGCGGCAGUACAUGGACGUGCGCCUCCCUCCACACUGAAUUUGAAUAGUCAAUAUCAGCCAGCAGCCGGCGUGGGCCCGCUGAAGGUCAAUCAGAAGCAGUCGCAGCAGCAACAUUAUCACACACAAGAUCAGCAGCAAAUUUACGCACAACACCAGCAACAACAUCAACUGCAAUUGCAGUUGCAACAUCAGCAACAGUUGCAGCAGCAGCACGCACAUCAACAACAACAGCAACGCCUGAAAUCGGAACAACCGACACCUGGCAGCGAGCAGAGCCCCGUUUACAUACAACAAAACCAUCCCGGACACGUAGUCAAUCAGGCCUGCCAGACGCAGAUUUCGGCGGUUAAAGGCAGUGCUGUGGUACAAAAGACCACACCCAGCUCGGAGGACUCGUCGGGUAAGAGCCCUUCGCAUGCCCCCUUAGACCGCAAGAAGAGUAUCGGUUCUAUGCAGGCACUCAAGUCCCCCAUCACCAAGCGUCCUAUCUCGUCACCGGUAACGCUUUCCGGUUGGCUCUACAAGCAGGGCUCGGACGGUUUGAAAGUGUGGCGCAAACGUUGGUUCGUGCUGGCCGAAUAUUGCCUGUACUACUAUAAGGGACCCGAGGAGGAGAAACUGCUCGGCUCUAUACUCUUGCCAUCGUACAAAGUGUCCGCCUGCCUGCCGGAGGACAAAAUCUAUCGGAAGUACGCCUUCAAGUGUGAACACCAGAAUAUGCGCACCUAUUGGUUGGCCGCCGAGACGGGCGAGUCCAUGAUGCAGUGGGUACGUGCACUCACCGCCGCCACAACAAUGCAAGCGCCCAACAGCGGCGAAUCCGAUCAACCGAGCGGUUCGUCUUCGUUGAAUCAUAGCGGCGAAAACUCCGACUCUGGCAUACACACUUUGCAGUCGCAGCAAAGUAAGAUGAGCCUCAAUCAGGGCCAGGUAACGCCGGCCUCAGAGAACGCCAAUGCGAACUCGGCGUCGAGCAGCAACAGUGGCGGCACCGGCGGAGCACAACCUUUGUAUGCAAACGCUCCACCCAAACCACGACGGAUCAACGAUGGCGGCUACUCUUCCCCCAGUCCCGAACAUUCGAUUGACAACGAACGCAAACCACAUCAUCAACAACAGCAGCAACAACAGGCUGGACGUCAUAGCGGUCUUAUGUCACCGACAUUGCAGCAAAUGCAACAACAACAACACUACCAACAACGUGGCGGCCAGCAACCGCAACAACAUCAUGCCAUUUACGAUACACGCACCGGUAAUGUUUCGUCCGCACUGCGGCUACAACAAACACAACAACAAUACUCGGUGGACCAAUUGGAGGCACAAUUGCAGCAGCAAAUGGCUUUGUCGGCGGAGGAUUACCCCAAAUCGCCGCCACCGCCUGCCACACACUCCAAUUACAUGGAGCUCGAAGAGCAGAUGUUACGUCUGCAACAGCAACAGCAACAACAACAGCGUGGCGGUGAAGAGAUUUACGGUGAACGCGAUCUGUAUAUGCAAAAGCUGAUACAACAACGUUAUCCACCACAUUUGGCGCUCUACCCGAAUGCCGAACGUCGUACACCGGACGCAUAUGGUCGCUCGAAAAAUCGCAUCUUCUCGGAUUAUGAAGAUAUUUACAAUUUAGCCCAAGCCGGUUUGGCAACAUCAGCGCAGGAGGCUCUGCUACAGGAGGCGGCCAGUUAUCGGCGGCCGCUGAGCCCACCCAGUUACGAUGGCAGCAAACAUGUGCCAGCUAUGCCGAUGCGUUACACGCCCAAUCACAUGGAGUCCGCACAACAACAACUUACGGCCAGCAACAGCAAUUUGCGCUCACGUCCACCCGCCGCUAUCGUGCGCCCACAUUCGGCGGACUUUUUGGAAUACGAAGCACGCGCUGAAUCAGCAGCGGUAGCUGCAGGCACCGCCGGCAAUGGCAACCUAUCGAGCGCCAUCAAACCAGAUGCUGUGCGCGCGCCACGUCCGAAAUCUUCGCUGGACAUCAAUCGUACACCGGACAGCUUCUAUUACUCGGAGGCGAGCUACGCGGAGAAGAUGCGCAAAAGCGCACUCUAUUUGCAACAUCCACAGGGCGCCACGAAUGCGCAGCCACAGCAAGCGGGCGGCUAUCGCACUGCCAAUGAUUUCCUAGGCCCUGUAGGUAGCGGUAUGCACACCAUCGGCUAUGAGAAUCCCUACGAACGCGGCUAUAAGCGUGGCGAGCAACUGCACGACGGUCAGGGUGCCGCCAGCAUGCCGCGCAUGAGCCGUAGCAACACAACGACCGCCAUGAACACGAGCAGCUUGGCGCAUUUGCGCUCGCAAUCGAUGCAUCCGCAAUCGCAGACGACGCUGCUCUCGCCACAGUCACAGUCACAGCAGAAGCAGCAGCAACCACCGCCGCCGCAAAAGCCUGUCUAUACGCCAACCAUGUCGACGCAGCAGAUUAUUCAGCAAAGCGAGCAAUUCCUACGCUCGGCAAGCGCACGCCUGCCCAAGCGCAGCGGCGGUUUCGAUGAUGACUACAACAGCGCGGCGGCCACUUCACCGCCACAGCAACAGCAACAGGCAUUAUUGCAGUCAUCUCAGUCUCAGUCUCAGUCACAGUCACAAUCACAAUCAUCUUCACAAUCACAACCACAACAACAUCAACAGCAGCAUCAGCCAUCGCCACAGGAUGGCGAACGCAAGCGUGAGGAGUCAAUGAAACGUUUGCUGGAGUGGAAGCAGCGCAUGUUGCAGUCACCGUUGACGCGCAAGGGCAUGCAGCAAGGUGGCAGCAAUAUGUCGGCCAUGUCGAAGCUUGGUAGCAAUCCGAACAUACUGCUCGCCUCGACGACGGUGGCGAGCGGCGCGCAUUAUGCCGCCACUAAUACGAGCGGUGGCAACAGCAGCGGCAAUGCGGUCGGUGGUAGUGUUGCGGCUGGCACUGUUGGUGGGAGCAGCGGUGGUGGUGUCACAACGAUUGCGGCUGGUGGCAGUCUUGUUGGUGGCGUAGGCGGUAUACAACGCAGUCGUUCGGAUGCGCAUGCGAACCUCGGUCCAGCUGGCUACAAUAGUUACUCGUCAGACGAUGAAGAUGGAGACAACACAAACGGCAAGCCGGCAGGAAGGUCCACCACCACCACAACCACAAACACCACUACCAUUACUACCAACUCUGUUAUCAAUACCAAUACCAUUACCAGUACUACUACUCUUGCUAGCAUUACUAGCUUAGCGACAAGUGUCGGUACUGACAUUAGUGCCGUUAGUCCAGCGGCAACAACAAGCGCUGUUGGCCAAGCAAUUGAGGGUAGUGAUAAAUGUAAUCUAGCAACAAAGUCAACAAUUACAUUUGCCGACGCCAUUACAGACACAACAACAACACAAACGAAGACCGGCAUUGACAAGACGGACGCACGCGAAACAGCGACAGUGACAGCGCCGAACGAUAACAACCAGAACAACAGCGUAGCAACAAUGUUAACAACAACAAAAGCACCAUUUACACUGAAACCCAUACUGAAGGGUAGUGGGGAUAGAGCAAAGCAAUACACGACACAUGAAACGCGUAGUGGAACACCAACGCAACACGCUAAAUUGCAACUGAAUAUGGCGGCGCUUAAGAACAAUGCAUUGCCGCAGCCAGACAGCGUUGAUAUGGAGGUGCCCAUUUUGCCGAAGAAACCGGCGCCGAAAUCACCGCAAAUUACCACAUACACACCCGUCUACACGACAAAGACACUGACGCCAACGCCAUCACCUUCGAAGACGUAUGAGAAUGUGCAAUUAAUUGAUAACAACGAUGAAGCGAAGGAGACCACCGUCGAAACGGCGGUUGAUAGCAUGCAGCAGUUAGUAGAGCAGCAAACCGCAGACACUAUAGAUAAUUAUGAUGUCGGUAAUACUGAGCAUGUAGUGGCAGAUGAUGCUGCAGGGCGGAUGCCUGAACUCAUUCAAGCGCAGGAGCCAAUGUCAAUGCAGACAAUAAAUGAGCAGGAGACACCAAUGUUGGCGCAGUUGCAAGUUUAUCAAAGAAUACAAGAGGCUAAUCUGAAGGCGGUGAAGGAUACAGAAACGAAAGGGGUGCAUAUGCCGGUUAAAGAAAGCGUCGUGCUGGCAGCAGAGUUGCAGGCUGAUUGGCAGGCGACAGCAGUGGAUGAGAAUUCGAGCAGUGAGCUGAAAAAUGAGCCAAACGCAAAUGUAGGUGAAGCGGGAGAUGCCGCGCUUGACACUGGUGAUACUACACGAGAAGACACUGAUGAAGACGACGACACGGUCGGUGAGGAAUAUACCGAUGAUGAUCUCGACGAAGCUUUAGCUGAAGAGGCUGACGCAGAAGAUGAAACUGGCACUGGCGUCACAGCAAUGCCAUCAAAUAACAAAUCCACGGAUGCUGGCAUUAUGACUACAGCUGCAACUGAACUCAAGCCACUAGUUGUGAUUGAGCCGCGCACACCUCUUAUGGCCGCGCUGACUUUCGACGAGAAUCACUAUCUGCCAAUGACACCGAAGAAGAGUGAUUUAGCGCAGAGUGGCAAUUUGACGUUGAUAAGUCUGCAUGAUUCCACCACUGAGGAAGAGAAUCCUUAUGUGGAAAUGAGCAAAAAUCUGCCGGAUGAAGACUCCAGGUCUAAUUAUGAGGUGAUGUGCAUAAAUCCACACGUCGGUCCGGCCUUAACUAGCGCUGCUGUUAAGGCCAAGCAGCUGCAAAUACAAGCUGAGCCUGUCUAUAUGGAGUUAAGUGCAGCAAGCAGCAUAAGUGAAAGUGGUAGCCAUACUGCAGGUGCACAUAGCAGCGCUGCUGUCGCCAAUAAUCCAUUACCAGCGCCACCACCACUGCCGGCAGACGAGUUACACAGCUCAUCCGGUAGGUCGACAUUGAAGAAGAACAAAAAGGCUACUGAUACUUUAAAGAAAAAAGCGAAGAAAUCCAGUGCUGAGCGUUCACAAUGCAAGCGAAAAGAUCUUCCCGACAUAUUGAAGCAGUCGCAGGGCACAAUGUCACACGUCUCCGAUAGUUCGGACGCCGACGAUGAGUCUACAAAACAUACCGAUCUCAAGAAAAUGCGUUCGCGCACACGUUUCAGUCUGUCGGACACUUUCCGUCCCGCCUCAUAUUAUCUAGGUGCCUCCACACCACUUGCAGAUUGUGCCGAAAGCUCUGAUAGCGAAAUAGUUUCGCCACCACCAAUACCAGCCUCACCGCCGCCAAUGGAGGAUUUGAAGACUGAAGAGAUAUUCUCUUCCGAGCAUUAUGAUACGGUGAAGCGACGCGACAGCAGCAGUGGCAGUGUAACGAAAAUCAAUUUAUCGUACGAUCAAAUACCGAAGUUGCAUGCCAGUAACACCUCGUUAAAUAGACAAAAGGCCGAGACGACUUUGAAAUGCAGUCGUUUAUCGCUGCCAGAUCAGUUCUCGAAACAACGCAGUGGCGUACAGUUCAAGCAGUCGCAUGCAGCUGCGCUACUAAAGCACCACGAACGUACGCUCUCCGACUCGAAUUACAGUUUUCAAACCGACAACAGUUCAAACACCUCAUCCGAUUUUGAUUUCUAUAAUAAACUAAAGCAAAAUUCACCCUCGUAUGUGGCGUCCCCCGGACGUUAUCCAUCGAACAGUUCUUUGCCACAGAAAUUCGUGCUGAACGCCACACCACCGACUGGCGACAGUAGUGAAACGGAUUCGGCGGUGGAGUUUCGACAUCGUCAAGGCUCGGACUCUGAAUUGGAACGACAACGUUCGCGUCGACCACUGUCCGAAGAGUCCAUUAGCGAGAUUGAAUCUUUACGUGAGAAAUUCGAGGAGACGCUGUCACAUGACUUGGACACUUAUCUCAGCCAUCUGCAAUCGAACGAUUUGUACCUCUAUCAAAAUACGCUUUUGAAUACGCCGCUGAGUGUAGGCUCAACAGAAUUACUAACAAAACUCAUAAAACCGCCAGAGACAUUCCGCAACAAGGACGAUGAGCAUUUCUACGGCAAUAUACGCUUCGUGUCGUCUACAGAUUCGCUACAGCGUCUAGGCGGAGACACACGCGAUGGUGCUGCCGCCGGCGCUGGCUGUGUGACGCCCACCUCCGGUGAGUUGGAUCACUCCAAGUACUACACACCGAUACACAGCCGAAAUAAUAGCAAUAUCUCCGACAAAUCAGCGCCUUAUUACUACUCGGAAUUGAGCAGCAGUCGGGAGAUGGUCGCCACACCCACAGCGCCUUUGAACAACCAGCGCGAUGUGCAUGCGCACGGCUCGAAUAUUGCGCACAUACAUAACCCCAUUGAUGGCCAUGGGCGCGUGAUCUCAAAUAUCAAUGUGGACCUGUUGGCCGACAAGGAUCAGGCGAUCGAUAGCAAAAACAUAUAUAAAAUGAAGAUGAAUGUGGAAAAGUUGAGUUACCGCUCAGGCAAAAUCUUGAAUGCUAAUGAAACUGCGCUUGCUGCUGCAGCCGCAACUUCAUCUUCGCCAAUAGCGGCAGUUAGUGAUUAUCAGCGACGCCAAGCGCACUCCACCAAAAUGAGCAACUACCAACAGACUAACCUACUUCAUGCACAAGUUGGUUCCACUGCAUACCCUGCCAUCAUGCACUCUCCCACAGGCGCAUCACAAGCUCAUGCUCCCUAUCAGACUUAUAGCGCCGACUGUAGCGCUAGGAUUGGCGGCGGUGGUGGUAGCGCCACAAAAAUUACAAAUAUGCAACAACAACAAUUGGGUCAUAGUAACAUCAUCGGUGUGGGCGCAUUGGGUCAUACAAGUCACGGUGUUGUCGGUGAAGGUACUGAUGUAGCAACGUCUCCCAUUGGAGGCCGAACGUCCACUAACACUAAUACUAAAGCGGUCACAGGCACGAACACAAAUAACGCACAGAAAUUCUCCGUUCUAGGCGCACCCAUUACAGGUGAGUUGCUGUGGGAGGAGGAUACGCUGUGGCGCGAGAGUCUCCGACGCGUCUCACAGCGUCACGCGCGUUCAUUGGACGAUCUCGAUCGCAUAGCGCCCAGUCCGACGGCGCUCAUGAGACGCGAACUGCACGGUGUCGAACGCGGAGCGCACAAAACGAAAAUCACACGUGACGUCACCUAUGUAAACGACACUGUGUCGCAGCAAGUGCGCGCCACCUACAAGCCGCGCUUGAGUGAACCACUCACACAACACCGCGCUGAUGACGUGGAUCGGCUCAAUGAAAAUGAUGUCUACGUGCAGCUGCAUGAACAAAUGCUGGAUGAUGGACACAACUCGGAUGUGUAUGAGGUGUUGCGCACGGACAGCGGCUCAAACUUGUCACACAAAUCGGUGGAGAUCGAUCGCGAGACGAUACGCCAAUGGGACUCAAUGUCCAGCGGUUUGAUGAAACAUUCGGGCAGUAAUAGCAACUCGGAGAAUGAUAAUCCCUGCGGCAGUGAGAGUCUCACGAGUGUGGGUAGUACAGUGCGCGCUAUUAUGGAGCAGCUGAAUGUGAGUUGUGAUGACAAUGACAAUGUUACGCAUACGCCCUGCACCACCGAUGUGGAAUAAAGCGCCGCAAAAUGUACAAAUCAACAUAAAAACAAAGCAUGUAGUAUAAAAGCAACAAAGUAUAAAGUAAAUAAAAUAGAAUAAAUGUUAACAACAAGCAAUAACACCUGUUCUGCAUGCGCGCAACAGCUGCCGCGCGCUCUCUCCGUACACAUUAAGCCACAUAUGUGUGCAUGCAAGUGCUGACAGUGUUUUUAUAGUAAAGCUGUUAGUUGUUGUUUUUAUUGACUAUUGUUUAUUUAAAUGCAGACAAAUGCUCACGAAAUAAAAUAAAAGAAGGCAACAACAAAAUCAAAAUAAUAUACAAAGCCAUUCAUUGUAACGACUCAUUGUGCGGCAAAACCUUAACUACAACAAAUACUACCAUUGAGUUUAAACAACGCGUGCAACAUUAUCGCUUUGUUGAUAUCCCAGCGCGGCGCAUACAAAUUAGAAAAUAGACCAGCACAACUAAGCGCGCGCCAACAAACAUAGAAGUGAACGCAAGUGUAGCAUACACAAAGGCGCCGCGCGCUCUAUGCAUGUCUGCUUGUUUGUAUGUACAUAUAUAUGAGUAAAAUUUGAUUGAAUUUGCACAAAAUUUUGCACAAACACACGCACACAUAUCCCCACGCAGCGCAAUACCGUUGCCUACAACAAUAACUAUAUAUAUGUAAAUACACCGUUAAACAGCGACUAGACAGUUGGACAGACAGGCGCAAACUAUUCACACACACUCGGACGCAAAUAAAUGACUGAGACAAAUGCAGACAACACUGGCAUUUGUUGUUGUCUAUCAAUUGGCGUUGAUUGUUAUGGCUUUGUUGACUGUUGUUAUUGUUGUUGUUGUAAACAAUUUAAUUCUCUAAUGGUAACAAACUCUAGAAAAAAGUACCUUGAAAACUAGUUAAAAAAAUGCAAUGCAAAUAAAAUGCAGCGUCAAUUUCGGUACGGAAUGUACGCAAUUUACCCAAAGGCAAUCUUACCGUUAAGCCAGAUCCCUCGGAUGCACACAAUCCGCUACAGCAGCAACAACAACAACAACAACACUACGAUCAAGCACUGGGCAAACUAACGA